UGAGAUAGAGGCCGCGCCGCGCCAUCAGUAGCCGUCCCCCAUGUCGUGCAGGACAGGGGCGGGGAAAGGGGCGGGCGCCGAAGGGGACCCCGUCUGCAUGGGGGGUCUUGCUGGGCGGAUGAAAUAAGAUUCAUCCGACUGUCGCAAAAACGUCCGCCAGGACGUCUGCGGAGAGCUAUCC
rnacentral:ncRNA from 1 species